rnacentral:rRNA from 1 species
AGCGAACGCUGGCGGCAGGCCUAACACAUGCAAGUCGAACGGACCCUUCGGGGUUAGUGGCGGACGGGUGAGUAACACGUGGGAACGUGCCUUUAGGUUCGGAAUAGCUCCUGGAAACGGGUGGUAAUGCCGAAUGUGCCCUUCGGGGGAAAGAUUUAUCGCCUUUAGAGCGGCCCGCGUCUGAUUAGCUAGUUGGUGGGGUAAUGGCCCACCAAGGCUACGAUCAGUAGCUGGUCUGAGAGGAUGACCAGCCACAUUGGGACUGAGACACGGCCCAAACUCCUACGGGAGGCAGCAGUGGGGAAUCUUGCGCAAUGGGCGAAAGCCUGACGCAGCCAUGCCGCGUGUAUGAUGAAGGUCUUAAGAUUGUAAAAUACUUUCACCGGUGAAGAUAAUGACUGUAGCCGGAGAAGAAGCCCCGGCUAACUUCGUGCCAGCAGCCGCGGUAAAAC